AGUAAUGCUUGGGAAUCUAGCUUAUGGAGGAGGAUAACUACGGGAAACUGUAGCUAAUACCGCGUAGAAUCGGGAGAUGAAAGUGUGGGACCUUCGGGCCACAUGCCAUAGGAUGAGCCCAAGUGGGAUUAGGUAGUUGGUGAGGUAAAGGCUCACCAAGCCGACGAUCUCUAGCUGGUCUGAGAGGAUGACCAGCCACACUGGGACUGAGACACGGCCCAG
rnacentral:rRNA from 1 species